GACGUAGGGCGCGAGCGUUGUCCGGAUUUAUUGGGCGUAAAGAGCUCGUAGGCGGCUCGUUGCGUCGGCUGUGAAAACCCGCAGCUCAACUGUGGGCUUGCAGCCGAUACGGGCGGGCUUGAGUUCGGUAGGGGAGACUGGAAUUCCUGGUGUAGCGGUGAAAUGCGCAGAUAUCAGGAGGAACACCGGUGGCGAAGGCGGGUCUCUGGGCCGAUACUGACGCUGAGGAGCGAAAGCGUGGGGAGCGAACAGGAUUAGAAACCCCCGUAGUCC
rnacentral:rRNA from 1 species